GCCAUCUUAAGACAGGCCGAGACACCUUGUUUUCUGAUUUGUAAUCAGUCGGUCGUCGGUUCGACUCCGACAGCUGGCUCCA
rnacentral:tRNA from 1 species